rnacentral:rRNA from 1 species
GAUGAACGCUGGCGGCGUGCCUAAAACAUGCAAGUCGUGCGGUAACAGGGAGAAGCUUGCUUCUCUGCUGACGAGCGGCGGACGGCUGAGUAACGCGUGGGAAUCUGCCCCAAAGUGAGGGAUAACUGCCCGAAAGGGUGGCUAAUACCGCAUAUGGUCUUCGGAUUAAAGCUAUUAGCGCUUCGGGAGGAGCCCGCGUAAGAUUAGAUAGUUGGUGAGGUAAUGGCUCACCAAGUCGACGAUCUUUAACUGGUUUGAGAGGAUGAUCAGUCAGACUGGAACUGAGAAACGGUCCAGACUCCUACGGGAGGUAGCAGUGGGGAAUAUUGGACAAUGGGCGCAAGCCUGAUCCAGCCAUACCGCGUGGGUGAAGAAGGCCUUCGGGUUGUAAAGCCCUUUUGUUGGGAAAGAAAUCCAGCUGGCUAAUACCCGGUUGGGAUGACGGUACCCAAAGAAUAAGCACCGGCUAACUUCGUGCCAGCCGCCGCGGUAA